rnacentral:rRNA from 1 species
UUAAGCGACUAAGCGUACACGGUGGAUGCCCUGGCAGUCAGAGGCGAUGAAGGACGUGCUAAUCUGCGAUAAGCGUCGGUGAGGUGAUAUGAACCGUUAUAACCGGCGAUUUCCGAAUGGGGAAACCCAGUGUGUUUCGACACACUAUCAUUAACUGAAUCCAUAGGUUAAUGAGGCGAACCGGGGGAACUGAAACAUCUAAGUACCCCGAGGAAAAGAAAUCAACCGAGAUUCCCCCAGUAGCGGCGAGCGAACGGGGAGGAGCCCAGAGCCUGAAUCAGUGUGUGUGUUAGUGGAAGCGUCUGGAAAGGCGCGCGAUACAGGGUGACAGCCCCGUACACAAAAAUGCACAUAUUGUGAGCUCGAUGAGUAGGGCGGGACACGUGGUAUCCUGUCUGAAUAUGGGGGGACCAUCCUCCAAGGCUAAAUACUCCUGACUGACCGAUAGUGAACCAGUACCGUGAGGGAAAGGCGAAAAGAACCCCGGCGAGGGGAGUGAAAAAGAACCUGAAACCGUGUACGUACAAGCAGUGGGAGCCUCUUAAUGGGGUGACUGCGUACCUUUUGUAUAAUGGGUCAGCGACUUAUAUUCUGUAGCAAGGUUAACCGAAUAGGGGAGCCGAAGGGAAACCGAGUCUUAACUGGGCGUUAAGUUGCAGGGUAUAGACCCGAAACCCGGUGAUCUAGCCAUGGGCAGGUUGAAGGUUGGGUAACACUAACUGGAGGACCGAACCGACUAAUGUUGAAAAAUUAGCGGAUGACUUGUGGCUGGGGGUGAAAGGCCAAUCAAACCGGGAGAUAGCUGGUUCUCCCCGAAAGCUAUUUAGGUAGCGCCUCGUGAAUUCAUCUCCGGGGGUAGAGCACUGUUUCGGCAAGGGGGUCAUCCCGACUUACCAACCCGAUGCAAACUGCGAAUACCGGAGAAUGUUAUCACGGGAGACACACGGCGGGUGCUAACGUCCGUCGUGAAGAGGGAAACAACCCAGACCGCCAGCUAAGGUCCCAAAGUCAUGGUUAAGUGGGAAACGAUGUGGGAAGGCCCAGACAGCCAGGAUGUUGGCUUAGAAGCAGCCAUCAUUUAAAGAAAGCGUAAUAGCUCACUGGUCGAGUCGGCCUGCGCGGAAGAUGUAACGGGGCUAAACCAUGCACCGAAGCUGCGGCAGCGACGCUUAUGCGUUGUUGGGUAGGGGAGCGUUCUGUAAGCCUGCGAAGGUGUGCUGUGAGGCAUGCUGGAGGUAUCAGAAGUGCGAAUGCUGACAUAAGUAACGAUAAAGCGGGUGAAAAGCCCGCUCGCCGGAAGACCAAGGGUUCCUGUCCAACGUUAAUCGGGGCAGGGUGAGUCGACCCCUAAGGCGAGGCCGAAAGGCGUAGUCGAUGGGAAACAGGUUAAUAUUCCUGUACUUGGUGUUACUGCGAAGGGGGGACGGAGAAGGCUAUGUUGGCCGGGCGACGGUUGUCCCGGUUUAAGCGUGUAGGCUGGUUUUCCAGGCAAAUCCGGAAAACCAAGGCUGAGGCGUGAUGACGAGGCACUACGGUGCUGAAGCAACAAAUGCCCUGCUUCCAGGAAAAGCCUCUAAGCAUCAGGUAACAUCAAAUCGUACCCCAAACCGACACAGGUGGUCAGGUAGAGAAUACCAAGGCGCUUGAGAGAACUCGGGUGAAGGAACUAGGCAAAAUGGUGCCGUAACUUCGGGAGAAGGCACGCUGAUAUGUAGGUGAAGCGACUUGCUCGUGGAGCUGAAAUCAGUCGAAGAUACCAGCUGGCUGCAACUGUUUAUUAAAAACACAGCACUGUGCAAACACGAAAGUGGACGUAUACGGUGUGACGCCUGCCCGGUGCCGGAAGGUUAAUUGAUGGGGUUAGCGGUAACGCGAAGCUCUUGAUCGAAGCCCCGGUAAACGGCGGCCGUAACUAUAACGGUCCUAAGGUAGCGAAAUUCCUUGUCGGGUAAGUUCCGACCUGCACGAAUGGCGUAAUGAUGGCCAGGCUGUCUCCACCCGAGACUCAGUGAAAUUGAACUCGCUGUGAAGAUGCAGUGUACCCGCGGCAAGACGGAAAGACCCCGUGAACCUUUACUAUAGCUUGACACUGAACAUUGAGCCUUGAUGUGUAGGAUAGGUGGGAGGCUUUGAAGUGUGGACGCCAGUCUGCAUGGAGCCGACCUUGAAAUACCACCCUUUAAUGUUUGAUGUUCUAACGUUGGCCCGUAAUCCGGGUUGCGGACAGUGUCUGGUGGGUAGUUUGACUGGGGCGGUCUCCUCCUAAAGAGUAACGGAGGAGCACGAAGGUUGGCUAAUCCUGGUCGGACAUCAGGAGGUUAGUGCAAUGGCAUAAGCCAGCUUGACUGCGAGCGUGACGGCGCGAGCAGGUGCGAAAGCAGGUCAUAGUGAUCCGGUGGUUCUGAAUGGAAGGGCCAUCGCUCAACGGAUAAAAGGUACUCCGGGGAUAACAGGCUGAUACCGCCCAAGAGUUCAUAUCGACGGCGGUGUUUGGCACCUCGAUGUCGGCUCAUCACAUCCUGGGGCUGAAGUAGGUCCCAAGGGUAUGGCUGUUCGCCAUUUAAAGUGGUACGCGAGCUGGGUUUAGAACGUCGUGAGACAGUUCGGUCCCUAUCUGCCGUGGGCGCUGGAGAACUGAGGGGGGCUGCUCCUAGUACGAGAGGACCGGAGUGGACGCAUCACUGGUGUUCGGGUUGUCAUGCCAAUGGCACUGCCCGGUAGCUAAAUGCGGAAGAGAUAAGUGCUGAAAGCAUCUAAGCACGAAACUUGCCCCGAGAUGAGUUCUCCCUGAGACUUUAAGUCUCCUGAAGGAACGUUGAAGACGACGACGUUGAUAGGCCGGGUGUGUAAGCGCAGCGAUGCGUUGAGCUAACCGGUACUAAUGAACCGUGAGGCUUAACCUU